UUUUCAUUAUUAAACUUAUGUACUUAUUCUUUUUUCUGAAGAAAAUUCAUUAAUUUGUCUACAUUUAGCAUGUUUAGAAGAAGUUUACUGUUUUUUAAUUGCAUGCUUCCAGGAAGCAAUUCACCAACAUACUUUUUGUAUGCAAGUGACCUUAGUGCGACAUAUCUGGUGAUCGCAAUAGCCAUGGAUCUGUCACUGAAAUGAAAUAUUAUGUGAUUGUACAUGUUAUAAACGUGCUUAAUAUCCAUGCUUCUUAGUUGAUUGUUUACUAUUAGGUGACGAUUUGUAAACUACGGCUUCAAAACAC
rnacentral:lncRNA from 1 species